rnacentral:rRNA from 1 species
GAUGAACGCUAGCGGCGGGCCUAAUACAUGCAAGCCGAACGGUAAGACUUAUAGCGAUAUUUUAGCUAGAGUGGCGCAAGGGUGUGUAAGAGGAAUGCAAACUGACCGCUACAUGAGGAGAGCUCCCCGUAAGGGUAAUCAACGCUCCAUAACACCAUGACAAGACAACAUAAUAAUGUCACACGGCAAAGCGAUGAAAACGGGCAUGCGGUUGGUUAGCUAGUUGGCGGAGUAAAGGCCAACCAAGGCGGUGACCAAUAGGGGUUCUGAGGGGAAGGUCCCCCACACUGGCACUGAGAUACGGGCCAGAAUCCUACGGGAGGCAGCAGUAGGGAAUAUUGGACGAUGGUUGCAAGACUGAUCCAGCCAUGCCGCGUGCAGGAAGAAGGCCUUCUGGGUCGUAAACUGCUUUCUACUGUGGAUAAAAUACUCGAGCGCGGGGAAUUGAAGGUAACAUAGGAAUAAGCCACGGCUAACUACGUG